UGGGGAAUCUUGGACAAUGGGCGAAAGCCUGAUCCAGCCAUGCCGCGUGAGUGAAGAAGGCCUUAGGGUUGUAAAGCUCUUUUACCCGGGAAGAUAAUGACGGUACCGGGAGAAUAAGCCCCGGCAAACUUCGUGCCAGCAGCCGCGGUAAUACGAAGGGGGCUAGCGUUGUUCGGAUUUACUGGGCGUAAAGCGCACGUAGGCGGAUUGUUAAGUCGGGGGUGAAAUCCUGGAGCUCAACUCCAGAAUUGCCUUCGAUACUGGCUUUCUAGAGGCUGGAAGAGGUUAGUGGAAUUCCCAGUGUAGAGGUGAAAUUCGUAGAUAUUGGGAAGAACACCAGUGGCGAAGGCGGCUAACUGGUCCAGAUCUGACGCUGAGGUGCGAAAGCGUGGGGAGCAAACAGGAUUAGAUACCCCCGUAGUCC
rnacentral:rRNA from 1 species